rnacentral:rRNA from 1 species
UCAGUAGGGGUUCUGAGAGGAAGGUCCCCCACAUUGGUACUGAGACACGGACCAAACUCCUACGGGAGGCAGCAGUGAGGAAUAUUGGUCAAUGGACGAGAGUCUGAACCAGCCAAGUAGCGUGCAGGAAGACUGCCCUAUGGGUUGUAAACUGCUUUUAUGCGGGAAUAAAGUGCACCACGUGUGGUGUUUUGUAUGUACCGCAUGAAUAAGGACCGGCUAAUUCCGUGCCAGCAGCCGCGGUAAUACGGAAGGUCCGGGCGUUAUCCGGAUUUAUUGGGUUUAAAGGGAGCGCAGGCGGGAGGUUAAGCGUGACGUGAAAUGUACCGGCUCAACCGGUGAGUUGCGUCGCGAACUGGCCUUCUUGAGUGAGUACGACGGAGUCGGAAUUCGUGGUGUAGCGGUGAAAUGCUUAGAUAUCACGAAGAACGCCGAUUGCGAAGGCAGUCUCCGAGUCCUUAACUGACGCUAAUGCUCGAAAGUGCGGGUAUCGAACAGGAUUAGAUACCCUGGUAGUCCGCACGGUAAACGAUGGAUGCCCGCUGUUGGCGAUAUAGUGUCAGCGGCCAAGCGAAAGCGUUAAGCAUCCCACCUGGGGAGUACGCCGGCAACGGUGAAACUCAAAGGAAUUGACGG